GGUUUCAAAGUAGAAUUUUAAGCCUGGGAUAGGGUUUCUUUCAUUCCAGAGUUAGGGUUGGAAAGUACGGGACACUUGGGCUUUAGAGUAGGGCAAUGGUUAUGGUUUCAAGUGUGAGUAAGUCAAGUCAAUAACAGUUAGGGUUUUAGAGUAGGGUCUCAAGACAUGGUUAGGGUGUGAAGGUAAGCUUUUGAAGCUGGGGAUAAGGUUUCAAAGAAGGGUUGGAACAAAUCUUUUGAAAAAAAAUGACCCCUCUCCCAA